UUUUACAAGAAUUCAAUUCAAUUGGUUUUGGUCUAUUCUCAUUUUUGGAAUGAAAGAAUUCAAUUAUUUUUAACUUAACAAAAUUUUUCAUUUUAAAAGAAAUAGAUUCAUGCAUGAUUGUGCGAGUCUUUCUUGCAAAUGAUUUAUUCCAAUGGAAGCCUUAAUGAACUUUCUCCUUCAAUGACUAUGCAAGUUCUAACAGCAUCUAGCAAAUGAUGUAGAAUAUGAAAUCCAGCUGCUAAGAGAAUAUUUCAAUAGAGCAAGAUACCCGGAAUAAUAGUACAUGAAUACAAUACAAUAAGCGCACAUUUCAAGCCUGUUGCACUGGCAGAAAUGUUUAAUGUCUGCAAUCAAAGAGCCUCAAAGAACCGGAUAUGGUCCUCAAAUGUCUCCCCGUGCCGUAUUUUGGCCACUGAUCCAUCCUCUUCGACCCAGUACUCAGGAGGGCGCAUCUUCAGAUUGUAUGUUGAUGCCAUACUCAUGCAAUAAGCACCAGCAUCAUGGACAACCAAACCAGCUCCUUUAGAUGGAGUUGGAAGUUCUCUAUCCUUUCCUAAGAAAUCAGCAGAUUCACAAACAGGACCCACCACAUCAAAAGUUGAAAUGUCAGCAUUAGUUGGUGCGGGAGAAACAAGCUCAAUGUGCUGUAACAAAACAUUGAAAAGUCUAUUUAUUAGAAAAAAAAAGGAACACUAUGUAGAAACCAAACAGUAUUCGAGUGCGAGGAAGUAGGAGGGUUGGGUGGUGUGAUUGCUACUUAAGGAGAGAUGAAUACAUAAUUCAGAGGAAAGCCACUUUGCCAGCUUGAUUCUCUUUAAAAAUUGGAUCACUUUAUUACCGCAUAUGUCUGACAUCGUGCAGGAAAAUAAGCAAUGCUAGAAUUUCUCACACAUGCUUAGGCUGCAAUAGCUGCCAACUUAAAAGAAUGUAAAACAAUAGUUCACAAACCCAAAUUGUUUUUAAGGCACAGUUUAGUGCCCCAAAAAAACUGAACUGAGAAGCAGGUUAGCAAAUAAUAAGCAUGCCUGUAACCAAGUAUGAGAUGAAGGAAACAUCUAAAACAGUAUUUCCCAGCAACAUUGUCUAAAUAAUAAAAAUGGUAUAAUAAACAUGCCUAUAAUUAAGUCCAAGAUGAAGAGAAACAUUCAAAUAGCGGUGCUCCCAACAAAAUUAUCUUGUAUAACUGAUAAAAAUAGUAAUUACUAAAAAUUAUGCUCCUAUAGAUGCUAUUAUGAAGACAUGAGAAUGAGAUAGAGAGAGUGAGAAAUAAUAUUUAAUCAAUAGAUGAGAACAGUAUUAUUUUCAACUGAUGAACCACAAAUCUCCACUACUUGGUUAUAGUACUUGAUAAGAAGCCUAAAACAAUAUAAACGAGCUUUUGCCUUUGAAUUAAGGGUAAAAUAUUUUAAUACAGCAUCUCCAGAUUUAAAAAAAAAAAAAGUAACAAUGGUAAUAAUUUAUGAGAUUAGCUAGACUCAUGAGAGGGCGAAGCUUAGCAGAAGAAGACAAGACUCAUGCGGUCAAAUGAAAUUGUUCUACAGUCUUAAAAAAAAAAAAAAAAACCUAUAAUCUUACACGAUUACAACUCUUCCAUUAAAAUUUCAAGACAUAGCAGAGCAUUUGGAUAAUGAACCCAUAGGCAUAGCAACUAAAAUCUCCUAAUGAGAAAACCCCAAAAUUUAUCUUGCAUGCUAUUAUGAAAUUCCAAUAAAUUUCUUAUCAUUUCUCGCAUCGUCCGCUGAUCCAACAAGGGUUUAUAAAAUUGAUUGCAAACAAAAAAAUAAGAAAUAACACCCUCUACCUCUAUUCUGAAAAUAGAGUCGAAGAGAUGAAUGGAAACCGACAAAACCCAAAAUAAGAAAACUACAGCUAUCAACCAAUAAAAAUCAAGUCAAAU
rnacentral:misc_RNA from 1 species